GGACUGGACGAUCCUGAUAAUAAUAAUAGUUUUAUGCAUAGUACGAGUAAUGGAUAUUGAAUAUAAUUGAUAGUCAAUUAAUAUUAGUGUAACAAAAAAUGGCUGUACACCAGAUAUACUCAGGACAUAUUGAAACAUGAAUUACCAUUUCUACCACAUGGGAAAGUUUCAACA